AGCAGCCGCGGUAAUUCCAGCUCCAAUAGCGUAUAUUAAAGUUGUUGCAGUUAAAAAGCUCGUAGUUGAAUUCCGGGGUUAGUAGAUUGGUCAUGCCUCUGGUAUGCACUGGUCUUACUGAUUCCUCCUUCCUGAUGAACCGUAAUGCCAUUAAUUUGGUGUUGCGGGGAAACUGGACUGUUACUUUGAAAAAUUAGAGUGUUUAAAGCAGGCUAACGCUUGAAUACAUUAGCAUGGGAUAAUGAAAUAGGACGUUCGAUCUUAUUUUGUUGGUUUCUAGGAUUGACGUAAUGAUUAAUAGGGAUAGUUGGGGGCAUUAGUAUUCAAUUGUCAGAGGUGAAAUUCUUGGAUUUAUUGAAGACUAACUACUGCGAAAGCAUUUGCCAAGGAUGUUUUCAUUAAUCAAGAACGAAAGUUAGGGGAUCGAAGACGAUCAGAUACCGUCGUAGUCUUAACCAUAAACUAUGCCGACUAGGGAUCGGAUGAUGUUAAAUUUUUUAAUGUACUCAUUCGGCGUCCU
rnacentral:rRNA from 1 species